rnacentral:rRNA from 1 species
GAUGAACGCUGGCGGCGUGCCUAAUACAUGCAAGUCGAGCGAACGGACGAGAAGCUUGCUUCUCUGAUGUUAGCGGCGGACGGGUAAGUAACACGUGGAUAACCUACCUAUAAGACUGGGAUAACUUCGGGAAACCGGAGCUAAUACCGGAUAAUAUUUUGAACCGCAUGGUUCAAAAGUGAAAGACGGUCUUGCUGUCACUUAUAGAUGGAUCCGCGCUGCAUUAGCUAGUUGGUAAGGUAACGGCUUACCAAGGCAACGAUGCAUAGCCGACCUGAGAGGGUGAUCGGCCACACUGGAACUGAGCCACGGUCCAGACUCCUACGGGAGGCAGCAGUAGGGAAUCUUCCGCAAUGGGCGAAAGCCUGACGGAGCAACGCCGCGUGAGUGAUGAAGGUCUUCGGAUCGUAAAACUCUGUUAUUAGGGAAGAACAUAUGUGUAAGUAACUGUGCACAUCUUGACGGUACCUAAUCAGAAAGCCACGGCUAACUACGU